ensembl:misc_RNA
AUUUCCUCUGCCUUUUUCAAGAUCAUUAGUUCAGAAGGUUUAUGUUUUCAAUUCCACAUAUCCUUGCAUUUUUCUUUCAAGUUUUGACCCAUAUGGAUAUCUUAAAUAUUCCUAUUAUUGCAAGUUUAUAUUAAAAG